ACCAAACGGAUUCUUCCGUUACUCUGGUGAUUCUGAAUAACUUUUUGCAGAUCGUACGGACCUGUUCCGACGACAAAUCCAUCGAAGGUGUGCCCUAUCAACUGUCGACUGUGGUAUAGACGUCCACAGUGGUUUUGACGGGUAACGGGGAAUUAGGGUUCGAUUCCGGAGAGGGAGCCUGAGAAACGGCUACCACUUCUAAGGAAGGCAGCAGGCACGCAAAUUACCCAAUGGUCGAAGACCGAGGUAGUGACGAAAAAUAACGAUACCGGACUCAUCCGAGGCCCGGUAAUCGGAAUGAGUACACUUUAAAUCCUUUAACGAGGAACAAUUGGAGGGCAAGUCUGGUGCCAGCAGCCGCGGUAAUUCCAGCUCCAAUAGCGUAUAUUAAAGUUGUUGCGGUUAAAAAGCUCGUAGUUGGAUCUCGGCAGGUAGGGGGCGGUUCGUUUCUGACGGCACUGCCCCAUUUACCUGUGUUUUUGACGGAGGUCUCAAGGUGGCUUUAAACGGCUGUCUUGGAACGCCGUCAGGUUUACUUUGAAAAAAUUAGAGUGCUCAAAGCAGGCUACAAAGCUUGAAUAUUUGUGCAUGGAAUAAUGGAAUAGGACAACGUUUCUAUUUUUUUUGGUUUUCGGAAAUUGUUGUAAUGAUUAAUAGGAACAGCCGGGGACAUUAGUACUCAGACGACAGAGGUGAAAUUCUUGGACCGUUUGAGGACUAACUACUGCGAAAGCAUUUGUCAAGAGUGUUUUCAUUAAUCAAGAACGAAAGUUAGAGGUUCGAAGGCGAUCAGAUACCGCCCUAGUUCUAACCAUAAACGAUGCUGACUAGCGAUCCGUAGCUGUUUUCUAUGUAGGCUCUACGGGAAGCUUCCGGGAAACCAAAGUUUUUGAGUUCCGGGGGAAGUAUGGUUGCAAAGCUGAAACUUAAAGGAAUUGACGGAAGGGCACCACCAGGAGUGGAGCCUGCGGCUUAAUUUGACUCAACACGGGAAAUCUCACCAGGCCCAGACACUGGAAGGAUUGACAGAUUGAGAGCU
rnacentral:rRNA from 1 species